UACGUAGGUGGCGAGCGUUGUCCGGAAUUACUGGGCGUAAAGGGCGCGUAGGCGGCCUGUUAAGUCAGAUGUGAAAACCCCAGGCUCAACCUGGGGACUGCAUAUGAAACUGAUGGGCUAGAGUGUCGGAGAGGGAAGCGGAAUUCCUAGUGUAGCGGUGAAAUGCGUAGAUAUUAGGAGGAACACCAGUGGCGAAGGCGGCUUUCUGGACGAUAACUGACGCUGAGGCGCGAAAGCGUGGGGAGCAAACAGGAUUAGAUACC
rnacentral:rRNA from 1 species